CCCUUAGAUGAUUUGGGCUGCACGCGCGCUACACUGACCCUAACAAUGAGCAACUGUCUGGCCUGAGAUGGCUGGGUAGCCUUUUCAACCCAUGUCAUGAUUGGGCUAGAUUUUUGUAAGUCUUGAUCUCUAACGAGGAAUCCCUAGUAUGCGUGAAUCAUCAAUCCAUGCAGAUUAUGUCCCUGCCCUUUGUACACACCGCCCGUCGCUCCUACUGAUUGGGUGAUCCGGUGAACUGUUCGGCCAUAGCAAUGUUUCUUGAGCAGGGCAAUGAAUGUUUCGCAAACCUUGCCACUUAGAGGAAGGAGAAGUCGUAACA
rnacentral:rRNA from 1 species